UCUUAUGAAGUGACAGGCCAAACUUUUCUCGAAAACAUGCUUUUUCGAAGCCGUCUUUUCGUAAACAUUAAUUAACGCCAACAAAUUUAUAUAAUUAUAAUUACAAAAAGUGUAACAUUAACAACAAUAACAACGCCCAAGUCAUUGCCGAUCCAGCAGACCUAUGAUCGAAGGUAUUCCAGCCACCCAACUAAUUGAUGAUGUACGUGAAAGAGCAGGUGUUUGUGGUAACAUGGAAGAUAAAGGGCUUGAAAUACGAAGAAUUGAAUGGGAUCGAGAAGCAUUUGCACAGGAUCUGCAAUUAUCGAUUCGUAGGAUAGCUAACAUAUUAGAAUUUCCCCAUGCAUCAAUCCAUGGAAUCCUGCGAAAUGAUUAGAACACAAAAGUUUUUCACAACUUAAACGCAGCGGAUCAUCCACGCAGAUCAGCGAUAAAUUGAAAGCGCCGAUUUAAUCAACAAAAUUCUGUUCAGUGAUGAAGCGACCUUCCACACACGUGGAAAAGUUAAUCGUCAUAACAGUUACAUUUGGGAAAGUGAGAAACCAACUGAACCGCUUGAAUGGAAACGAGACACACUGAAAGUGAAUGACUGGCUUAGUAUGAGAAAGUCAAAGGACUUUAUUUUUUGCAAAGACUACGGGUGACGGGAACUGUGUAUAUUGAUAUGCUUGAACAAUUCUUCGAACCUCAACUUCUCACAGGUGGCAUUCUUGAAACUAGUUUUUCAACAGGAUGGAGCACUGUGCCAUUACACAAAGAUUGUACGUAAUUAUCUUGACAGACGCUUCCCUCGUCAUUGGAUUGGUCGUGAGGGAACGCAACUAUGGGCAACACCCUCAUCCGAUUUAACACCAUUAGAACAUUUUCGCUUGGGAGUGCAUUAAGUCUAUGGUGUAGAAGAAUUAGAGAUGCAGUAGCGCUUCGAAAUCUUAUUAUUGAUGUAGUUCAAAACAACACUUCAAAUGCUGGAAAUUGUGUUCCAACAAGCAAUUUAUC